rnacentral:lncRNA from 1 species
UUUACAGAUGUAGUUCUUGUGCACAGGUGCCACUAGCUGGUACCCUAGGCCCCAUCCCCAACCCAGAGGAGUGGGGCUACAGGCCCAGAGCUGGCAGCGGAAACUGACAGUCAGAGCUGAUGACAGACUCCCUACCAGGAUUCAGGUUUCUGUAUGAGAUCACAGCUUAUUUCCCUGUACUGCCCUACCAGGACCGGUGCCACUCCAGUCAGGGCAGCACACCUGUUUCCCUCACCCGAGCUAAG